AAAGAAUCACUUUAGAGUAGACGUCUCUCAUUGAGCUUUUCUAAAAAGCCACAGAAUCUCCACCCUUGCUGAUGACUGCUAUGUCCUCGAUGCCCUAAAGUGAAGCCGUGUUUACUUCCGCCGCGACCGCGUCCGUUUCCGCAUCUUGAUACGCCUUGUCUUCGGACGAGCGUGUGUCGGGUGUCUGGGGCGGGCAUCGGUCAAGGGAGUGGUGAUGAUCUUGACCUUGUCUUGACGUCGGACUUCGGUCGGUCGGACUUGGUGGGUGUCGAGGAGGUCUGAAAGGU
rnacentral:snoRNA from 17 species